rnacentral:rRNA from 1 species
AUUGAACGCUGGCGGCAUGCUUUACACAUGCAAGUCGAACGGCAGCGCGGGGCAACCUGGCGGCGAGUGGCGAACGGGUGAGUAAUACAUCGGAACGUACCCAGAAGUGGGGGAUAACGUAGCGAAAGUUACGCUAAUACCGCAUACGUUCUACGGAAGAAAGUGGGGGACCUUCGGGCCUCAUGCUUUUGGAGCGGCCGAUGUCUGAUUAGCUAGUUGGUAGGGUAAAGGCCUACCAAGGCGACGAUCAGUAGCUGGUCUGAGAGGACGACCAGCCACACUGGGACUGAGACACGGCCCAGACUCCUACGGGAGGCAGCAGUGGGGAAUUUUGGACAAUGGGCGCAAGCCUGAUCCAGCAAUGCCGCGUGAGUGGAGAAGGCCUUCGGGUUGUAAAGCUCUUUUGUCAGGGAAGAAACGGCUGAGGAUAAUACCUUCGGCUAAUGACGGUACCUGAAGAAUAAGCACCGGCUAACUACGUGCCAGCCGCCGCCUGUAAUAC